GUUGCUACGGCAUCCACAGGCUCAUCUGAUGUCAAGGCUUCCAGGUGGCCCAGCACAAAAGCUAUUACUUUAUGUUGUUUCAGGAAGUCUUUGAAUAGUAGUGCAAAGCUAAAAUAAUUCCAGGCAGAGUGGACAGUGAGAGAGAGAGAGAGAGACAGAGAGAAAGGUCUACAGAUGAUAGAGGAGAGUCCCAGGAUUACCCUCAAAACCAACUGUUGAAGACAGAGAAUCUCCACAGUCUUAUCUCUAAAUGACCAUGGAAGAGUGCCAAUCAAACCUCUGCUCACUCAUCUAACAAAUAUUAUGACCUUUCUGAACAGGAAGUAUGUCUCAGUCACCACUGGAUCUUCAGGACAUAAAACAUUUCCUGGCACACACUUUUUCUUUUAACAGUGUGGCAGGACCUCACACGCAUAAAUGAGGCUCUGCUAUUCACCGAAUAGAAGGAACAGAAAUAAUCAAAACCCUCACUGAAUAUACUCUGCUGCAAUGUUUUGGAACUAUUUUAAAAGACAUAAAAAUCAUCUUACACUUGAAAUAAACUGAGGCCAAACUUUUGUGCUAUUGGUGAGCAAAGAACAGAUUCUCUGGAAAGAUCAAACUAAUUAAAUUCAUUGUCGUGGGUCACAGAUACGAUAUUACAUACACAUACACACACUCAUGUAUGUGGUUUCUAAUUGUUAAAAUAAUAAUCAGAGUUGGUAUCUAUCUAAUAAACCUUUAUUCAUUUCCCGGAAUUACAAGUUUCUCUUUUAGAUGACUACAGUAAGACAACGUUUAAUCGCCCUGCUAAGAAAUAAUAAUACUAUCUAAUAUUGAUUGAGUAAUCAUUCUGUACCAGACAAGCCAUUGCAAGUUCUAUGUAACUUAUAUUUACAAAACCAUAGUGAGAUGAGUAGUGCUAUUAUCUUAUUUUGCAAGUAAAGAAACUGGAGCACAGAAUCAUCACCUGCCCAAAGCCAUGCAGCUGCUCAGAGGUACCUCUGAGACCUGAGCUUUCCACCUAUGAGUUUGCCAGCAACCUGCCACAUCAUAAGGACAAAGUGUGAGCUAGCGUUUGCUUCAUACAGAGAUGAUGAAACAAACCCUAAUUGGAUUAUGUGGGGGUGUAUGUAGCAUCUCUUGUGUGGGAUGAGGCAGGGAAGAUUUUUGUAAGACAAACAUUUGACUUGGGUGAUAGAGAUUGUGGAGGAAAAUAAUUACAAAGCUAGAAUGCUUUCUCUGUAAUGAAGACACUCAGUCCCUGGCCUGAGUUUUAUAAGGCAUGUAUACACACAAUAAAAAUGGGAAUUUUUCUUGAGAACUUAUGUCUAUGUUAUGUCUUGGCCAUGUUAAAGGCAUAAUAUCACUUCUGCAGUAUAAGUAAAUUAUAUUCACAUGUAUUUUCUAUAUAAAUUACUUUUUUUCUUUUGACUCUAAUUUAAGCUUGAGAUGAGCUUGAACAUGACCUCAUGAUUUCAUCUGUAUGGUUGAAUAACCACCGUAUUCACAACUUCUCAAAGUAUGUUAGGCACAUGAUAAGUAAGUGCUCAACAAUAUUUUUAAUAAUGACUAGAUAACUGAAUUCUACCAAGAGGUUGGCUGUGUUUCUGCCUGUGCUGGACAGCAGAUUCUUCUGGCUCUGUGGAGAACUGUUGGUCCAACACAACUAAACCAGUGAUCAUGGCAACUUCAUUGAAAGGUACACAGGUGAUAGUGUUUUACAUCAAUAGUGGGCUUUAUGCUUUCUAGAAUAUAUUACCAGCCUAUUGUCUCAGCUCAUUUGGUAACAACCCAAUAAGGACAAUAAGGUUAUACCCACUGGACGAAUGGAUAAAGAAACUAAGGCCCAGAGAGUUUGAAUGAUUACCCUAAACUCUUAGAACUGGCAUACAACGGAAUGUGGAUGAAAAACAGGGCUUCUAAACCUCUCUCUUUCCACAACACACUACAGCAUGACAGUGGAAUACUGACCACACUAAAAGGAGCAUGAAGAGGAAUUAAUCGAUCUUUACAGUGUUUUCAAUGGAUUCAGAAUCAAAAAUAAAUUACUAUACUGUAUUUGCUCUUCAGAAUUAAAUAUAGCAGAAGAGAGGAGCUAGACCAAACAAAAGAAUACAUUUUCUAAAUCAAAUCUUGACAACAGAUGAUAAAUAAUAAAUAAGCUAGCAAAAAUAGAGUGAGAACUCCCAGAGGUAACACAUGAAACUAACACACUAAUGAAAAAAAUCAUGAUCAGCCAAGUUAAUCCCUCAGUGUAAAAUUCUUCUGCAAAUAAUAAAAAUGUCUGAAGUGAGAAAACAGCCAGAGUAUGUUGUGAGUCAGGAAAAAGGAGGAGAAAAAACAAAUAUACUCUUCACAAGAGAAAAACAGACGAUUCAAGCACCAGCUUUUAAAAACAUGUACCCCAGAGAAUUCUGCAUUUCCCUAAUGAAACUUUUCUUAGUCUGUUUUCUGUUGCUGACUUUCACAGACUGGAUAUCUUUUAAAGAAAAUUUUAUUUAGCUCAUAGUUCUGGAAGCCUAAGAGUGUAGCCCAGCAUCUGCUUGUCAUCUGGUGAGGGCCUUCCUGCUGGAUCACAACUUGGUAGAGGACAUCACGUACUGUGACACAGAAAGCAAGCCAGAGAAAACUACUUCAGGAAAAAAAAAAAAAACUGCCCCUGAGUUAUCCAUCAAUCCACAAAUCCAUUCCUCCAUGCAUGAAUGAAUGCAUUCAUGAAAGCCCUCAUGGCCCAAUCACCUCUUAAUGAUGCUAACUUGUCUCACAUGUUAAUAUCUCACAUGGAGCUUAAUUUCAACAAGAGUUUUGAUGGGGACAUUCAAACCAUAGCAAACUCCUUCAUCCUCUUAUUUUAAAUGAAUUCUUAUCAAUAAGAAGUUUUGAGGUUGAUGCCACACCAUUGACACAUACUAGCUGACUUCCUCUGAGAUCCCAGUGACAUGAAGGUGCUGGAAGAACAUAUUUCAUUCUUUGACUCUCUGAUCUGAGUAAGAAAUAAAUAUUUUCAAUUUGUAUUCAUGAAGGAAAUUUUCAAAG